rnacentral:rRNA from 1 species
GAUCAUGGCUCAGGAUGAACGCUGGCGGCGUGCCUAACACGUGCAAGUCGAACGGAGUCGUUUUGGAAAAUCCUUCGGGAUUGGAAUUCUCGACUUAGUGGCGGACGGGUGAGUAACGCGUGAGCAAUCUGCCUUUAAGAGGGGGAUAACAGUCGGAAACGGCUGCUAAUACCGCAUAAAGCAUCAAAUUCGCAUGUUUUUGAUGCCAAAGGAGCAAUCCGCUUUUAGAUGAGCUCGCGU